AAGGAAUAUUGGUCAAUGGGCGGAAGCCUGAACCAGCCAUGCCGCGUGCAGGAUGACUGCCCUAUGGGUUGUAAACUGCUUUUGUCCAGGAAUAAACCUAGAUACGUGUAUCUAGCUGAAUGUACUGGAAGAAUAAGGAUCGGCUAACUCCGUGCCAGCAGCCGCGGUAAUACGGAGGAUCCGAGCGUUAUCCGGAUUUAUUGGGUUUAAAGGGUGCGUAGGCGGCCUAUUAAGUCAGGGGUGAAAUACGGUGGCUCAACCAUCGCAGUGCCUUUGAUACUGAUGGGCUUGAAUCCAUUUGAAGUGGGCGGAAUAAGACAAGUAGCGGUGAAAUGCAUAGAUAUGUCUUAGAACUCCGAUUGCGAAGGCAGCUCACUAAGCUGGUAUUGACGCUGAUGCACGAAAGCGUGGGGAUCGAAC
rnacentral:rRNA from 1 species